GGAAGCUAAGCAAUAUAACCCUGUGGCAACACUUCUAAAAGUGACUCUGAGAAGACAGAAAGAUCCUCUGUGAGAGGCUGGUGUCCCCAGAAAUUGGCGAGGCCUGCUGAGGAUCAUUUGGGUAAAUGUCAUGGUCACGCGGCCCCAUUCUCUUCGCUGAGCUCCAGAUUUCCGUAGCCAAUUGUCUGCUGGACAUUCCUCCCUGAGACGUCUCACAGGAUUUUUAUGUGUAUGGUCAUUUCAAGUAAAUUUUGUAUACAGAGCAAGGCGAUUACUUUAAAACAUGAAAGAAAUUGCAUCUUUUCCUUAAGGGCAAGACGGUGCUGUGGCUUUCCUCUCUCCUGAUGAGAUGAUGUAAAUGGACUCCAUAGAGAAACGCUGCCUUGUAACAAUGCAGUUACGCAACCGGGUGCAUGAUACGUGAAUUACAGCGCAUCUGAGAUCCUGAUGAAAUCCUGGGAGCCUGCUGUCAAACAUGGUUUUAAAAAAUAAAGGGAAUACACCCAGCCCACA